GAAGUUCGCCAGGCAGCCGCUGGAUGCCAACGAAAAUGAGGUAUCUGGAGGAAAGUCCGGGCCCCGUAGAGCAGGAUGCCGGCUAACGGCCGGGCACUGUGAAGUGACGGAAAGUGCAACAGAAAGAUACCGCCGAUGACUCGUUCCGACUUUGCCGCCGCAAGGCGGCAAAGUCUCCCUUUAGUGGGCAGGGGCGGUACAGGUAAGGGUGAAAUGGUGGCGUGCCGCAAGGCAUGCUGCGACCGCGCAAGCGGUUGCAGGGUAAGAGCCCACCGCGUUUCUGGUAACAGAAGCGGCACGGCAAACCCCAUCCGGGGCAAGGCCAAAUAGGGGAGCAUUGGCGUGGCUCGCGUCGCUCCCGGGUAGGCUGCUAGAGGCCGUCGGUAACGGCGGUCCCAGAGGAAUGGCUGCCCACGACAGAACCCGGCUUAUCGGCGAACUUCCCAC
rfam:Rugosibacter aromaticivorans strain Ca6, complete genome.